rnacentral:rRNA from 1 species
GUGAGAUGUUGGGUUAAGUCCCGCAACGAGCGCAACCCACGUCCCUAGUUGCCAUCAUGUGGUUGGGCACUCUGGGGAGACUGCCGGUGAUAAGCCGCGAGGAAGGUGUGGAUGACGUCAAGUCCUCAUGGCCCUUACGGGAUGGGCUACACACGUGCUACAAUGGCGGUGACAAUGGGCAGCGAAGGGGCGACCUGGAGCGAAUCCCCAAAAGCCGUCUCAGUUCGGAUUGCACUCUGCAACUCGGGUGCAUGAAGGCGGAAUCGCUAGUAAUCGUGGAUCAGCACGCCACGGUGAAUACGUUCCCGGGCCUUGUACACACCGCCCGUCACACCAUGGGAGUUGGUCU